CAGGGGCUUUGACUCGAGCGAGGCGGUGGAGGAGGCAACGGAGCACAGCUGCCUGGAGCCGCAGGCAGUGGCAGCAUGGACUCAUCGCCAGAGAGACGCACGGUAUCUGGGACAGGAGUCGAACCGAGACCGGACCCCGCACGGCUCCCCAGAGUUGCCGAGGAGCAACCUGUAAGAAUGGGAAGCUUCGUGUCGUCCCCAGCUUCAGUCACACCACAUGACAGGCACAUGGACACACACCGGGUUUCCAAUUGGACGUAGAACCUCCUCCGCUUAUCUAGAGACUUCAAUGUCACAGCUAUCAGAGUGAUUUUCAUCGUAAAGGGUCGAGUCAGCGCCUCAUUCUGACCGCAAGGAAU